ensembl:snRNA U4 U4 spliceosomal RNA
AGCUUUGCGCAGUGGCAGUAUCAUAGUCAAUGAGGUUUAUCCGAGGUGUGAUUAUUGCUAAUUCAAAUAUUUAAAGUAUACUUCGUAUUUUGAAAAACCAAAUUAAAGUUGAAUUAUAGAAUCUGAAAGAUGA